GAAGACGGUGGCAGACCUAAAUGGAAAGAAGAGCCCAGCUCAGAUGGACAGCUGUCUUUAAAGUUUGCCUUUGCUAUUAGUUCACGUUCUAAAUUAAAUUCAAGUGUAAUGUCGAUAGCGAUGGUAAGCGAUUGUAACCUUCCUGAUUUUUUUUACUGGUCCGUAUAAUUCAGGCACUCAUUCUUCUUAAAAGGAAGGGAAAAAAAAAACAAAAACAAAACAAAAUAACUGCCAUAAUUCGAGGUAUUAAGGCUCUGCCAGCAUUUACAUUUUGUAUCACCUUCAGGCAGCACCCCCGAGAAGAUUUGCAGCACGGAGUGCAGGUAGUUAUUUUUCCUAGGUGUACCUCUCCCUUUUUGGGACAAACAGGCUAGUAAUACAAGUGUUCGUGAAGCUACACGUAGUUUUAAAUUGCCAUCACCAUUAACAAGAACAAACCCCGCGCUAACAGCCCUUAAAUGCCACGCUAAUAGCCUCCACGUGGAAAGAAAUCCCCAAGUGUUACAAAUUCAGUUUAAAGACCAGAAAGCUGCCUGGGCAGCCGCGAAGUAUGAAAACUCCCUCCUCCGAGUUGUCUGCCUUUGAUUUAACUACAUUCUCAUGUGAACGCAGUGCCGGAAAAUCAGGAGCAGAUGUACCUAACGAGGCGUUUUCUUUGCUAAACCGUCUUAUUUUAAAAGUAAAAGAAAAAAAAAAUAGAUUUGUUUUGUUUUAGCACGGAUGUGCUCUGUGCAGAAGCGCGCAGCUGGGAGGGAGCAGCUUUGAAAAUAAAGCGCAAGGGACCUGCGUUCUUUCGGGGUGGUGUUGUACCCUAGGGGGAGGCAACCGGGGGUUUGGAGCUGUUGUUCUCCUUCUUAUAUGGCGGGACAAUGCCUGGGUUCGGUCCGGAGCCGGCCGGCCGUGUUCGCUCCGUGCCGGGCCGGGCGCCGGGGCUGCCGGGGGUUGUGCGCCCCAGCUCCUCCGGCCAAGUAUCAGAGACUUGGCUGUAUGAGGGGGUUUGCAGGAGAAGGAAAGAGAUCAGUCCUGAGAAACGAAGGGGCUUUUCCCAGGAAAUCAGCUUCACAAUUUCAUGGUCACUGCAGACAAGGCUGCCUCCAGCGCUCUCAUCCCUGAACAUUUCUUCUGCACUUGCAAGGAUGAGGUCCGGAAGAGUCUCUCCUCUCAUUGUCUCCUUCACCAAUAAGGCAUAGCGAGCCAGGGAUGCAGCCAUGGUCCUGCUCUUUUCUAUUUCAUGGAUAUCGGAGAUGACAGAUGAAAAACAAACUGACAGCCACUCUGUAACUCUCUGCUGGUUUCACAGUCUCACAUUCAGUCAAGAUGCAGAGGUAACAAACACAUGGACAACCACUGUAAGGGUCAUAACACAGUAAAAAAAUAUAGUCUUUUCUGUUCCUGUCAUUUCAGUCUGAGAGAUGAACUAGAGGCUGGUUGCAAACUGUAGUCAGAUUUUCUAUACAGCAUGGGUGGUCAUACUCUAAUAGAAAUCCAAUCCAAAUGCAUGAGAUGGGCAUUCUCCCUUUUGACCAAGGAGUGGUGAAUAAAAAUAGGGGUGUGAUUUUUAUCUGUACAUGGGGUACAUAUGUGGACACUGUGUGUCCAGAGUUGAUUUUUACAGUUUAAAGAUUUCUGAAAAGUAGGAGGUGGUAGAAAACAGAGGACAGGAAAAGGAGCAUGAAAAGAAUAACCACCAAAAAAAUGUCUGGCAACAGAAAAUGGAGUCAGACAAACUCAGAUUGCAAAGAAAACAGGUUUGAACCAUCAUGGUGAUUCAACAGGGGAAUGUUCUACCAAAGGCAGUCAUGUGAGGUCCAUCUUUUAUGUCGCUGAUUGAAGACAGCCUUUCUACAAGAAGCAUGUCUGCUCUGUAGAAACUGUGCCUCAGCCAAGCACAAGAUAUUCAGUUCAGCAGGACAGAAAGCAAAUGAGUGAAAUUUGCAGAGGUGUGAUAGACUGAGCAGAACCCCUGACCUAAACCUCCUUGUACUACUGCAUUUAAAAGCUAAUAGAAACCACCACCUCCAGCUGGGGAAGAAAAAAAUCACAGUUAACUGUCAGCCACUGUUGACAAAUAGAGGGUAGAUUUCCCUGAACAGAGAUUCCAGUCACUACUGGUUUCAUCCAAGAGUUUUCCUGCUCUAAGAGAAUAACUUCUAUCUUACUUUGAAUGAGUUUUUGCCAGUUACACCAAAGUAUAUUGGUUAAGGUAGGUAGAGAAUAGUGUUUGGAUCUUAAGGCAGAAAAAAAAAUUCAAAGAAAGAAUUCUUUCGAUUCAUGGUAACCAAGGAGGAAAGUUGCUCUUUUAAAACAGAGGACCAAAGACUGCAAUAAGUGUGUAUUUUUCAAGAGCUUUUGGCAGGUUAGCUGGUGCUGAAUAGUGAUGACAAAAUGUUCAACAAACCAAAAAUAUUCCAUCUGUUCACUAAAAAAUGAGAUUCUGUGGAGCAAGACAAAAAACAGGAAAUACAGAAUUCUUCCCCUCCUCAAGGCAUUUCGACACAAACAUCUCAACUCACCCACUUAACUAGUAUUAAAAAUCACUAAACCCGGUCUUUGAAAUCAAUUACAACUGGCCCAAGCCUCAGCAGAGUGGAGGUGAGCGGGGAAGGCAGGACAUGGAAAGGGCUGUUCCCAGGAGAUGUGGCUAAAAGCGUGUCUGACUCUCCUCCUCCACCAGCCCUACAUCCCCGAGGGGAUCUCAGCACAGCAGGCAAUACUGCUGCAGGGCAUCUGCAAUCUCUGGAGGUGAGAGGAGUCUUACUUGUGAAGAAACUCAAGCUGUUUGGGGAGGACUGUCUGUGUGGGAUCUGUUGGGCUUUUCCUUCCUCUGCUCCUCUCCUCACCUCCCUGUGCUUGCUCAGAUGGGAGGCUCUGCGGAGAGACAGUGUACAACAGCAGAGAAAACAGGCUGUUUACUCAACAAUCUCACUUCACAGCUGGUUUUGACAGCAACACUUGACUGUGAAAAAAUCCCUAUGGUGAAUUGAUCUGGGACUUCCUUGAAGGAAAGCUGGGUAAAAUAGAUCUUUUCGAGAUGCCUGUCAUCUUUAGACCUGUGAGCUUCUGAUGUGUCAGAGCUGGGGACAAGCAUUAUCUGUCUCCAGGCAGAUUGUGCAGAAAUGCCUACCUUUUGAGGUGUUUGUGCCACCAGAGUAUUUUACUAGGCAAAUAUUUCACAAGCCUGUCUUGAGUAAAAUCAGUAAUAUUCCUUGGAGUACGUUGUCUUUGGAGUAUAUUACAUCUCCCUGAGGAAAAGGGCAGAGGAUUGCAGUCCCUGGUUCUGUGAUGUUUCUUUCUUUCCUCCUCUUUCUUCUUUCUUUCCUCCUCUUCUUUCUUUCCCUUUCUCUCUCUUCCCCCCCCCCCCAGGUAGACCUCACCUCUCUUGUUUUCUCAUCUCUAAAGCCUUUCAGCUGCUCCCAGGGCAGACACACAAACAUCUUUUGGCUUUAUUCUCACUCUGCCUCUCCCUGUAUGUGUAUUCAGACAAGUGUUUAAGCUCUUUCAAAGUAAAGCCGAUGAGGAUUAUCUUCACUGAGCAAAGUAGGAGAUCACUGAAUAAAUCACUAUAAAGAUACAUAGAUUUUGCAUUGUAUGACUAUUAUUAUUAUCAUAAAUAUAAUUAGAAAAUUAUUUUAUAGAAACAGAACAAAAGGAAACAGUCCUCCCUGGUUUGAUUUCACAUGUCUGUUUAUGGUUGUGUUUUACUGGUAGUUUUAAGCACACACACAUGCAAGCGCACAGCCAGUGGGCCAAAUAUUGGGAUGCCCUUUUUAAAACCUCCCUUGCCUCUAGCCUUGAUCCCAUCUCAUACUAGUUCUCAGCAAAGACAGUUCCAAUUUAUACUCAUUUCCAACCAUUUCAAACUGACACUUUUAAUUCAUCUCACUGUAGUUACCAAGGGCUUAGCAGAGAGAUAAAGAAAAAAAGGAAGAAAAAGAAUGGAUACUGCAGGCUUCUCUGAACACUUUCCAUCUAACCCCAACAAGUAUCAAUGACAUUUCUUGUAUUCACAGGGAAAUUGAUUUACUUUCUCACAAGAAAAGAAAAAAAUUAAGUCUGAAGAUUCAACUUCUGCAGUAUUUAAGAAUACGUUUGAUUGUAGUAAUCAGGUUCCAAACCAUUUACAGUGACAGCAGAGGGAACUAAACUGGGGAAGGCAAGAGUCACAGUGACUGCUGGUGUCUGAGUUUGAUGUCAAUGAGGAUCAGCUGCCUACUAAAAUAAAGUGCUACAUGUAGCUACAGUAAAGUUGGUAUUUAUAGCCCACGUUAAAAGCCAGAUUCAGGCUCCAAAUCUUUGAAAGAUAUAUGGAAAUUUUGAAGUCAAGUGUUUUUAAGGUAAUGAUUUUCAGGAUAAAAUUGUAACUGGUCCAAACAACUGACUACAUCCCUCUGACAGAAUCUGUUAUUCCUCAGGGAGGGACACCAAACCUCUUGUGAGCCAUUCCCACUCAGCUUUAGGCCCAUGAAAACUUGUGCCCAGGUAGGACAUCACCCUUCCAGGCACUGCAUCAUCCUUCACCUUUUGUCACCUCAGCUUGAGCUCUGCAGGUGGCAAGAGCUCAUUCUAAAUCACUACAGGGUUGGGUUGUUGGUGGUUGUUGUGGUGGGUGUUUUGUUUUGUUUUUUCAUUUUGGACUCAGAAAAGAGUGUUUAAAAAAGGAAACGGGGGAAAACUCCUCGCAUCCUCUGAACUGAAAUUAAAGGGAGGUAUCAUAAAUGACAAGUCACUGGAACAUAAUUCUGUGAUGCCUCCAAUUAUUUAUUUACAUUUUGAACCACUCAGAAAAAUACCCUUAGAUUCUACAUAAAGAAUGAACAAGAAUUUAAGCUGCUAUGAAUUUAUUACUCUUGAUGCAAUGAUGCUACUUUUCACCCCACAAAACAUGGUAUAUUUUUAAGGAGAAGUUAGAGUUUAAGAAGGGUACUUUCCCCAACAUCUACAUAGAGGUAUCUCUUUUGGGAUAAGAUCUUAUUUAUAAAUGGGGCAGGCAUUCUAAGCAGGCAGGAACAAAGAAAAGCGUUUUUAUUAGCAGCAGGAACCACAUGAACAGCUUUGACCUCAAUUUAGGAUUUAGCUUAUCAUUUCACACAGAGGCUUGCAUCAAGAAUUUGACACUGGUGCCCUUUACUAAUUUGUAAAGCAAACUAAAAGGAAAAUAAUGGAGUACGGAUAAGUGCUGUUCAUGAACCACUGAGCAGGCUCUAUUCCAUUCUGUCCAAAUUACUCCACAAUCAGUCAGAAAUCUCACGACAGACUAGGUUGUCUUUUUGUUGUUUUUAUUCCUCUAAAAAAAAAAAUAAAUAAAUAAAAGCAAAUUAAACUGCCAGGCCUGUCUGUCCCUAUCCUGCUGGCGAUCAGGAGUAUUGUGGAAUUGGCAUUCUUUGAGCUCAUCCCUGCCUCCAUGGAGGGAAGCGCUGCUGGGAUGUGGGGAGAAUAUUUGCCUGUGAACCUUAGAGCUGUGAUCGUGUGAUCGUGGAGCAACCUAAGGUUAGGUCUUAAGCGUGGUAAAGCCCUGGCAGCUUUGCUCCAAUUGGCUCCAUGACAUUCCCUGCUUGGCUGUGAUCCUAAUGGCUUGAGACUGGCUGAAUUCUUCUAACCUCAGGAAUUAGUUCUUUCAUUUUGUGGAACUCUGCUCACUUGAAGUGUUAUUUUUUGCACACGGAGAGCAUGUUGGAGCUGAGGCUUAACUGACCUGAAUGCUCUCACUAUGUGAAUUAUCUUUCAGGCAAAGCCACAAGGCCCUACAACCCCCAUGCUGACUCAGAUGGUUUUUAGUCCUCAACAACAACAAAACAAGAUUUACAAAUUUCAUUAGAUUUUCUUGAACAAAAGAGCCGUGUAAGAGCAAAACCAUACAAGUCAUCUUACCAGAUACAUGGUAUCAACACUUCAGUGACAAAGAUUUUUAGUCCUUCUGUAGCUGAAAGAUGGCACGAAGCAAGCCCAAAUUGCAUUAUCGGUGUUUUCCCCCAGUGAUGACACCACCCGUUUACACACCAAUAUCCCAUUCCUGUGCACCAGAGCAGCCUUGCAAAUUAAAACUCCUUUCUAGCCACAUUUAUAUGAGCACUCCUUCCCCAGUCCUGUGCUGUCCUGGCAGUGACUGCUGAAAUGAGGAUGACUUUUCUAAAUAAAGUCGUACAUCUAUAUUGCUCAAAGUAAUAUGCGUAUAUAUUAUAUGGAAACUGCUGAGUGGCUUUUCUUCACAUUACUGAGAAGCAUAUAUUUCCUCCAUAUAUUUCAUAACAGCAGGCAUAUGGCCCCAAUCCGUUGAGUUAUGGAAGAGUUUGCUAUGUGUGAUUUCAUGGAGCACAGCAGGACUCAGGGCUCCUUAGGAGCUCUGCUUUCAGCCUCCAUUGCCUUGAUAGGAGGGAAGCGCAAAGAGUACGCAAUACAUCUCUCUGAAUCAGUUUGUGGAUAUACAGAAAACACAUGCAAAAACACAAACCAACAUCUGUUAACAUGGAGUCAUAUCAUCUGUGGGAAGACGAAGCACAAGGAGAGAGAUUCAGGCUCUGACUGUCAUUGCAGAAAGCUGGAUAUAGGACAGGAGGAGAAAAUGAAGACAAAUUAAAAACCCAAAGCAGGGCAGGGUGCAGGCCUAGAGGGGAGACAAAUACAAAUAUAAAUGAGUAAAUAAAGAGAAAAGAUACCCUGUUUCUGUCUCCUGGCUGUGUCUCUUUCUCAGUUUGGUGUCCAGCUUUUCUGGUCUACUUGGUGCUUGACACCCUUGCGAAUCCCAGGCUUCCCUGUCAUACUGCCUUGGUACGACAUGUCUGGAAAAGUGUGUGCAACAUGCUGUUCAUGUUCUGGACAUGUCAGCCUCAUGCCAUCAUGCUUUGGGUGUAUCUCCGGCUCCAUCUGUGAAGCUCAGCUCUAUCUGAGCUCAAGCACAAUUUGACUCCUGAUUUUUCAAGAGAUUUAUCCUCUCUUUGAUCUUCUGGUGAUACGUAACAUGUUGGAAGUGACGUUGUCUGUGACAACCCAUCAUGAAAACUACUUCUGAAGGAUACUUUGGAGCACAGGGAGAAUACAGUUGCGUUGCUCACAAACCUGAUUGAACUGAGGCAGCACCACUGGCAACUUGAGCAACAUCUUAGAGUAGUUUUUGAAGCCAAAGCAGUGUACUUCAAACUAAAUAAUGUGGUUAAAUCUAGGCCUUGUCCUUGACUCAACAUUAGUAUUAAGAAAGCUUGCUCUGGGAACUCUUCCAAAGCAAUAGGUCAGUAUGACAGGAGGAUGGGGAAUCCUUUGCAGGGAAUCCUUAGCCUGAGGACAACAACAGGGUCUUCCAAAAGCAGAGAAGAGGAUAUUGGAGGGUGACUGAAGCUAGCUGAGUUCGAAAAACCUUCUUGCUAAUUUAGUACACAACCAGCACACAGGUGAAGGCAUGAAAUCAGUAUGUUUUUCCAGCUACAGCCUGCCAGAUCCCUGCCCUGAGCAUGACUGAAGAAGCCUGUGCAAUGCGAAUCGGGGAUGACAGGGAAAAGCUGAGUCCUUUGCCAGCCAGACAUGUCUCAUGAUGUCUGGUCAGUACAUCGUGUGGUGCUGCAGGGCCGUGACAAGAGGCUGUGGCUGAAGUGAUGCUUUUAGUCCUAUGUCUCCCAUCCCCAGCACUGGUUACAAUACCAUUUGCAUUUCCAGGCCCUUUCAUAGCCCUUCUCCAAAUUUAGUUUAAACAUACUCAGCAAAGGCAAUUCUUUCUGCAGCUAGAAGAGGGGAAACAAUCAGAAAAUGCUCCCAGCCAGCUGGGUCUGUCUGUGAAAUGACCCUCUUGAUCUGAUUCUUCUUGACUUAUGACUUUCCUGCUACCCUCUCUGCCAACAAGCUCUGUUAGACAGGACUGAGUCUCACUGCAGGAGAAAAGAAUAAAAAGCUGGGCUCAACAAGUUUUGGCCAAAAUGGUAAAAUCAAGUGAUAAAUUAAUUCAUUACAAGCAAUGCAAGUCUGCACUCAAAAAAUUGCCCUUUGCUGAAGUCAGGGCUAACUGAGUACACUUUCACCUCCAUCUGCCAGCGCAGUUGACUGAAGAGGUGAUAUACGUGUUGCCGUAGCUCUUUUCCGUCAUUGACUUCCCAGACCUAAUCCUCAUUCUGCAGCAGGUAGGAGUUAAUUUUACAAUUGGGCAGGACAGUGGAAACAACACAGAUGGCUUUCCAGUGUGACAACAGAUACCCAAGUUUCCCUAAAGAAAGUCUUUUGGGAAAUGUAAAGCAACAUGCUGUCAGAAUGGAGGACUUCUAGUUGAUUAUCUGUGUUAAAUAGCUUAAAUAUCACUUUUUCACACACAAUCCCAUUAUUGGAUUUCUAGUGCAGUUGCAAACAGUUGGUCUUUAAUUCUUUGUGCCUGCUGUAAGCAAAAAAAUGCUAAGGAAAUGUUUGCUGAGGCAGUUCAGGACCACGUGAGACUAGGAGUGAUUCUUCCUAGAGGGCACUUCUCAUUCCACUUUGACUUUGGUAGGCUACAGAAAUACCUGAGUAAUAUCUUUUCUGGUUCAGCACACUUUCUAAAACCCCUUCAGUUGUGCUUUAUUUUAAAAAUCUGCAUUAGCUAUAAAAACCUUACUGGAUGUCCUAGUUUCCUGUGGAAUUAUUAAACAACAACAACAAAAAAAGUGCCUUAGGCAGAAUGACCUUAUUCUUUACAUUUAUAUUCUCUGCAGCUCUUCCUUAUGCUUUUUACUGUUGUGAUGCAUUGGAUUGUGUUUUGCCUCAGUCAGUGGAUAAAGGAACUGUGUGUGGAUGCAGUAGCCAUGUGGGAGACAAGACACUUCCAAGACAUGAACUCCCACCAGUGGGCACAUGGUCUUUCCCACCAAUCCAACUUCAUCUGUUCAACUUUCUCACCAACUUGAGCAGAAGCAGCAGUGUGUGCCCUGGUAGCUGUAGUCUCCUGGGAGAUGCAGGUUCUGCCUGGGUUUUCUCCUUCCUAGGUGAC